ACACCAUUACUUCAAUAUCCCUUUCUUGUUUUUCCUUGGAUAGGUUUUAACAAGAUAGAACUCUAGAUCACUUGGGUCCAAAGACGCUAGAUUAUAAAAUCCUGAUGUGACUUGAUACUACAAAUAGAAUAUGUCUUAUGAUUUAAUACUACAAAUAAAAUGUCUUUUAAGUACAAACUUCAAUGAAUUGAUAAAGUGUAAGGAUAGUGUUUAAAGUUGCUUCAUGUGUAGAAGCUGAAUUACUUUAGUUUAUACACUGUAUAUUGUCGAGAUCACAUGUUGAUAUGACUUAAUACCAGCAACUUGCAAUAAGUGGUCUGUUCUGCUUGUUUAUAAUACUUUAGAGUUUGGACAUUAGAACAUUGUAAUUGCCUGACAGAGACUGUUAGGGCCUGUUUGUAUGGAAGCCGGGUUGGCCCGCUUAGUGAGACAGCCCGGUAAGGUAGGUAAGCAGGAUGAUUUCUCUUGUGUUUAUUUGAGAAAAUUUCAUUCCGCUUACCGGGACAAUUUUGUUGUUUUGACAUUAUUUUGACAGUUGUUAAAAAUAGCUUGCGGCAGUAUCUUUGAACUUUCAUCCCGGCAACCGGGCUAGCCUGCUUAUGAUUGUUUAGGUGGAGAAAUUUCCAUCCUGGUCUUGGCAACCGGGCCUGCCCGCUUGUCCAUAGAAAUGAU